rnacentral:rRNA from 1 species
UACGGGGGGGGCAAGCGUUGGUUCGGAAUUACUGGGCGUAAAGGGCUCGUAGGUGGCCAACUAAGUCAGACGUGAAAUCCCUCGGCUUAACCGGGGAACUGCGUCUGAUACUGGAUGGCUAGAGAUUGGGAGAGGGGAUGCGGAAUUCCGUGGUGUAGCGGUGGAAUGCGCAGAUAUCAGGAAGAACACCUAUGGCGAAGGCAGCUCUCGUGGGACGGUACUGACGCUGAGACGCGAAAGCGUGGGGAGCGAACAGG